UCCGGCGUAGCUCAAUGGUAGAGCGGAUGGCUGUUAACCAUUAGGUUGUAGGUUCGAGCCCUACCGCCGGAGCCA
rnacentral:tRNA from 1 species